GAGCAAAACCUUACGACCAAUUACCAAAGCACAAGAAAACUGAAAAGCUAAAAUACCAAAGUUGAACAAUUGAAUUGAUAGCACAAAGAAAAAACACAGAGGAGAGGAAAAACAAAACCAACGUCAGAAUUUUUUGAGAGAAAGAGAGAGAACCAAAAUUCUUUGAAAAAAAACAAAAAUAAAAUUGAUAACCCCUAAUAUCCCAACUCCCCACUAUUUCCUUAACCAAAACUACCUAUAUACUCAGACUCCCAAUCUCAUCCACCUCGCUCUCAGUCCAUCGAAGUAAAAAUAACAUCCAUGCUUGCGCAGGGUUUCAACCACAAGACCUCCAACACAACAAUCCCCUUACCACUCGAACUAACAGACUCAUUCUGAUAUAGAUUAACAGACAAUUUU
rnacentral:lncRNA from 1 species